rnacentral:rRNA from 1 species
UACGGGGGGGGUAAGCGUUGUUCGGAAUUACUGGGCGUAAAGGGCUCGUAGGCGGCCAACUAAGUCACACGUGAAAUCCCUCGGCUCAACCGGGGAACUGCGUGUGAGACUGGAUGGCUUGAGUUUGGGAGAGGGAAGCGGAAUUCCGGGUGUAGCGGUGAAAUGCGUAGAUAUCCGGAGGAACACCGGUGGCGAAGGCGGCUUCCUGGACCGACACUGACGCUGAGGCGCGAAAGCUAGGGGAGCAAACGGG